rnacentral:rRNA from 1 species
UACGUAGGGGGCAAGCGUUGUCCGGAAUCAUUGGGCGUAAAGAGCGUGUAGGCGGCUCGGUAAGUCCGCUCUGAAAGCCCGAGGCUCAACCCCGGGAGGCGGGCGGAUACUGUCGGGCUAGAGUCCGGAAGAGGCGAGUGGAAUUCCUGGUGUAGCGGUGAAAUGCGCAGAUAUCAGGAGGAACACCAAUGGCGAAGGCAGCUCGCUGGGACGGUACUGACGCUGAGACGCGAAAGCGUGGGGAGCGAACAGG